GCUAUGAAUCUGAGAAGGUGUGUGAAGAGCAAGAUGGAGAAGCAGGGCACGUGCUGUACUGACUCAACCCAAAAUGCUCAUGUAAAUCACAAAAUAAGAUGCCUUUUUGAGUUGGUUCUUCAUGUGCCCCUCUUCCCCAUCUUGACCUCUGCACCUUAAUCACUUAGGCUUCUGCUUCUGCUUCAGCUUCAGAGAGAAGUUUCCACACCCUUAUCAAGAAUGUUUCGUUCCCUUCUCCAACCGAUGUGAAAUCUCACAUCCUAUGACUUAGGUUAGGUGAGUUUGAGAUGAGUUCUGUCGUUUGUGUGAGUUUAAAAUGAUUUUCUCCCGUUAGAGGGUUUGUUUCAAUUGUGUUGAAAUUCUUUUUAGAUUGUUCACUUCAUAAACAAGUGCAGGAUUGGGGAAAUAUUAUUGGAGAUCACUAUAAUGAAAUAUAAAAAAGCUCCCUAUUCGAAACUAU